GGAUGUGAUCAUACCAGCACUAAUGCACCAGAUCCCAUCAGAACUCCGUAGUUAAGCGUGCUUGGGCGAGAGUAGUACUAGGAUGGGUGACCUCAUGGAAAGUCCUCGUGUUUUAUCCC
rfam:Arabidopsis thaliana chromosome 3, complete sequence.